rnacentral:rRNA from 1 species
UACGGAGGGUGCGAGCGUUGUCCGGAAUCAUUGGGCGUAAAGGGCGCGUAGGUGGCCUGGCAAGCGUGCGGUGAGAGCUCGGGGCUCAACCCCGAGUCGGCCGUGCGAACUGCUAUGGCUCGAGCACUGUAGAGGCAGGCGGAAUUCCGGGUGUAGCGGUGGAAUGCGUAGAGAUCCGGAAGAACACCGGUGGCGAAGGCGGCCUGCUGGGCAGUAGCUGACGCUGAGGCGCGACAGCGUGGGGAGCAACAGG